UGAACAUUCUCUAAGAACACC
rnacentral:miRNA from 1 species